UCCUGGGUGGCUCAGUCAGUUGAGCGCCCGACUUUGGCUCAGGUCAUAAUCUCACUGUGUGGGUUCAAGUCCCAUGUCAGGUU
rnacentral:tRNA from 1 species